rnacentral:pre_miRNA from 1 species
UGAAGGCACAGAGCUUAGCUAAUUGGUGAGCAUUGAUCCCUGCUAUGUGUUGUUCACAGUGGCUAAGUUCAGUGCC